UACGAAGGGGGCUAGCGUUGCUCGGAAUCACUGGGCGUAAAGGGUGCGUAGGCGGGUCUUUAAGUCAGAGGUGAAAUCCUGGAGCUCAACUCCAGAACUGCCUUUGAUACUGAGGAUCUUGAGUACGGGAGAGGUGAGUGGAACUGCGAGUGUAGAGGUGAAAUUCGUAGAUAUUCGCAAGAACACCAGUGGCGAAGGCGGCUCACCGGCCCGUUACUGACGCUGAGGCACGAAAGCGUGGGGAGCAAACAGG
rnacentral:rRNA from 1 species